GACGAACGCUGGCGGCGUGCUUAACACAUGCAAGUCGAACGGAAAGGCCCUGCUUUUGUGGGGUGCUCGAGUGGCGAACGGGUGAGUAACACGUGAGUAACCUGCCCUUGACUUUGGGAUAACUUCAGGAAACUGGGGCUAAUACCGGAUAGGAGCUCCUGCUGCAUGGUGGGGGUUGGAAAGUUUCGGCGGUUGGGGAUGGACUCGCGGCUUAUCAGCUUGUUGGUGGGGUAGUGGCUUACCAAGGCUUUGACGGGUAGCCGGCCUGAGAGGGUGACCGGCCACAUUGGGACUGAGAUACGGCCCAGACUCCUACGGGAGGCAGCAGUGGGGAAUAUUGCACAAUGGGCGGAAGCCUGAUGCAGCACCGCCGCGUGCGGGAUGACGGCCUUCGGGUUGUAAACCGCUUUCGCCUGUGACGAAGCGUGAGUGACGGUAAUGGGUAAAGAAGCACCGGCUAACUACGU
rnacentral:rRNA from 1 species